rnacentral:misc_RNA from 1 species
AUAGGCUCUUUUUUUUGAGCUUUCGGGAAAUCGCUUUUCCGUUUUAUGAGAUUAUGCCGGGGAAGGUUUUCCGGUUAGCUCCGGAGGGCUUGUAGCUCAGUUGGUUAGAGCGCGCGCUUGAUAAGCGUGAGGUCGGAGGUUCAAGUCCUCCCAGGCCCACCAAUUUAAAAGUGUUUUAACAUUUUAUCUAUGUGUAAGCAUUUUUUUUGUUUUGUUAUGCUUAUCCAUUUUGUUAAAGCACUUUARAUACGGARAAUUUARAGGCUUAAUCCUGUUUUGAAG